rnacentral:rRNA from 1 species
UGGGGAAUAUUGGACAAUGGGCGAAAGCCUGAUCCAGCCAUGCCGCGUGUGUGAAGAAGGUCUUCGGAUUGUAAAGCACUUUAAGUUGGGAGGAAGGGCAGUAAAUUAAUACUUUGCUGUUUUGACGUUACCGACAGAAUAAGCACCGGCUAACUCUGUGCCAGCAGCCGCGGUAAUACAGAGGGUGCAAGCGUUAAUCGGAAUUACUGGGCGUAAAGCGCGCGUAGGUGGUUCGUUAAGUUGGAUGUGAAAUCCCCGGGCUCAACCUGGGAACUGCAUUCAAAACUGACGAGCUAGAGUAUGGUAGAGGGUGGUGGAAUUUCCUGUGUAGCGGUGAAAUGCGUAGAUAUAGGAAGGAACACCAGUGGCGAAGGCGACCACCUGGACUGAUACUGACACUGAGGUGCGAAAGCGUGGGGAGCAAAACAGGAUUAGAUACCCUGGUAGUCCAC